AUGUGGCAGUCCUACUUAAAGGUAGAAGAAAAAGAACACCCCUUGUUUUGUAAUAAGGGGAUUUUCCAUUUAAAAGAGAGAGCGAGCCUGUUGUGUGAAGUCCGAUUAUUACAUUCACUGUAUUCUAUCUCACCCACCAGGAGGCUAAUAAUGGAGGGGCCAGAGAAGGAGGCCAGUGCUCCGAGGGUUAUCUCACAGCCUCAGAUGCUGGAUAAGCCGAAGGAGGCAGAAUCGCUUCUGGAUGACAUUCAGAAAGGCCGGAGUGAUUAUUGGAAGAGAAAAGCCUGCCUAUUCUUUUCCAAGGUGCCUGACUAUUCCCCGGGCCCGCCCGUCCGGCCACUGAUGAAUGAUUAGCCACCUGCCUCAGACAAAGGAUGCCCUGGGAGCCUCCCCACACCUACGGCCGCUUUGAAGGCUCUGCCAAACUCACUUUUAAUCACGAGAAAGGAAUUACCCACAUGGAGUCAGCAGAAAAUGAGAAAGUAGAGCUCGUGCUGCGAAUCAUUCCAGCAAGUGCCAAGGGGCUAGUUGAGGAAUGGCUUCAACGAGACCAUGCUCUAGGGGAACUAUUUAUAGCCCACCCAUCGAGGAGGCCCACGUUUUAGUCACGCCAGGCCUCCUUUCUCCCGUGUGGUCUUUCUUCUGAAACAAAGAAGAAAUAGUCAAAUCAGACUUACCCUCUUGGAAAUGUGGUCCAGAUUGCUCUACUCCCAAGCUCCAAAAAAGGUAUCCUUGAGUGGGCUCGAGCCACACCUCCUCGGAGCCAUGAAGCCACGGAGGUGUUUUCCACGUUGCAGGUGGGGCAGAGAAAAAUCCCAUCUCGGAGCAGAGGGGGGGCUUUGGAACAGAGAUGGUUACUCAUCUCUCUGCCACUCCAACUUCGAGACCAGGGGCAAGUCAUUUAGACGCUGUGAGCCUCUUUAUCUUUAAAAUGGGGAGAAGUAAUGUGCCCUAAGGGAAGAUUGUAAGAAUUAAGUGAAAUAAUGCAUAUCCAUGCCUAACAAAGCGCUUAGCAUGUUAAAAAAAUAGUUCAUGAAAUAUUACUUAUUCCCCCUUCCUCUCUCUCUUCCCUGUCUCUUCCUUUUUCUCCCCCUCUCCCUUCAGAUGUUAGUCUAAAACCAGCCCCUUCAAGAGAGAAAAUACUAGAAAAUGCCUAAUAAAAUACAAGCAAGCAACUAAAAAAAAAUGCCUAGUUGCCUCCUUUCCAUAUGUGGCUGACAUCCGUCAGUUGGAUCAAUAGUUUAAUUCUUUUCCCUUGAACUGUUUUAAUGAUGAUUGACCUAUUUUCACUUCUGCUGUUUUCUGUAUGUUUAUUUUUGCUUGACUGUUUUAAUAUUGACUAUUGAUCUCUACUCAUUUUUACUGGUUUUCUGUAAUUUUUUUUUCAAUGAGAAUUCCAAUAAAACUUACUCUGUU
rnacentral:lncRNA from 1 species